GACGAACCGUGCAAACGUUGUUCGGAAUCAUUGGGCUUAAAGGGUGCGUAGGCUGGUCGGUCAGUCUAUGGUGAAAUCCUCCGGCUUAACCGGAGAACAGCCGUGGAUACUGCCGAUCUCGAGGGGUGUAGGGGUAUGGGGAACUCAGGGUGGAGCGGUGAAAUGCGUAGAUAUCCUGAGGAACGCCGGUGGCGAAAGCGCCGUACUGGACACCUUCUGACGCUGAGGCACGAAAGCCAGGGGAGCAAACGGG
rnacentral:rRNA from 1 species